rnacentral:rRNA from 1 species
UCUCAGAGAUUAAGCCAUGCAUGUCUAAGUACAUACCUUAAAACGGUGAAACCGCGAAUGGCUCAUUAAAUCAGCUAUGGUUCCUUGGAUCGUACAUACUACAUGGAUAACUGUAGUAAUUCUAGAGCUAAUACAUGCCACUAAGCCCUGACCCGCAAGGGGACGGGUGGAUUUAUUAGAACAGAACCAACCGGUUGUGGCUUCGGUCAUGGCCGUUGUACUCUGUGAUGACUCUGGAUAACUUUACUGAUCGCAGUCGGCCUUGUGUCGGCGACGGAUCUUUCAAAUGUCUGCCCUAUCAAUUGUCGAUGGUAGGUGACCUGCCUACCAUGGUGAUAACGGGUAACGGGGAAUCAGGGUUCGAUUCCGGAGAGGGAGCCUGAGAAACGGCUACCACUUCUAAGGAAGGCAGCAGGCACGCAAAUUACCCAAUCCCGGCACGGGGAGGUAGUGACGAUAAAUACGGAUACGGGACUCAACAGAGGCUCCGUAAUUCGAAUGAGUACAAUUUAAAUCCUUUAACGAGGACCAACUGGAGGGCAAGUCUGGUGCCAGCAGCCG